CCGACGCGACCUUCGGUCAGGGGCCGCCAGCCUGGGCCACCUAUACAACGACAGCCUGCUCCGGGGCUUCCUGAGGAGGUGCCUGCCCCGCCGAGGUUCAACAGCUUUGGAGAGCAGGACAUCUUUUCCUCUCAGCCUGGCCCUCUGCAAUGGAGGCCAUAAAUAGGCCAGUAGUGGAAGCUACAGAACACGUGAGCAUGGCAGGGGCUGAGCUCCAUUUCAAGAUAUGGGUAAGAGGAGGGAUGCUGUUGCCUUGGAGCUGCCAGGCUGCAUGGCAGACAAGCAGGAUUCCUGCUGCCUCCCAUGGAGACUAUACUGGAACGCAGGUAAGGUGCUGGGAAUCAGUCACAGAUGUUCAAGUGCAAGCUUUGGCAGAACCAUUCUUUCCACUGUAGAUCAGCCAGACUUUGUAAAACAUGAUCUAUUUCCUCACUGGAUCCUCAACAGUCCCAUGGGCAGACUGGACAAAUAUCCCCAUAGGUGAGAAAUUAAAGCAGAGUAGAGUGGUCAACCCCCUACCCUGUAAGUGACUGGGGGCUAGAAUACAGGUCUCACAACACUGGGUCAGGGCUUUGUCUGCUGUGCACAAGCAGGCACUUGCCUAGGCAGAUACUGAGCUCUAGCUUCAUCAUUUCAUGUUUGAUUUUCUAUAGUGUAAUCAAUCAUAGGAUCAUUAGCCCCCCUGGUGUCUGCUGCAAAUUUAUCUUAAAUGCCAAUUUGUCCCUGCAUUAGAAGGGAAGCUGUUUAGUUGAGGGAGCUCUUCCUGAGAAACGGUGAAUUUUAUGUUAUUUUUUAUUUUUUUGAGACAGAGUUUUACUCUUGUUGCCCAGGUUGGAGUGCAAUGGUGCAAUCUCUGCUCACUACAACCUCCGCUUCCCAGGUUCAAGCAAUUCUCCCGCCUCAGCCGCCCAAGUAGCUGGGACUACAGGUGCCUGCCACCAUGCCCGGCUAAUUUUUGUAUUUUUAGUAGGGAUGGGGUUUCACCAUGUUGGUCAGGCUGGUCUUGAACUCCUGACCCCAGGUGAUCCACCCACCUCAGCCUCCCAAAAUGCUGGGAUUAUAGGCAUGAGCCACCAUGCCCGGC
rnacentral:lncRNA from 10 species